rnacentral:lncRNA from 1 species
CAAAGAGUAAAUACCAGGAAGUCCAGUUAAACCAGAUGAUCAGAAAAAAGCCUCUUAGGGGAGGUGUUACUGAACUUGAGAUUUAAUUUACAAGAAGGAACUUGUUGCAUCAAGAGCAGGGGAAAGUGCAUUCUAGGCAGAGAAAACAACCAGUGCAAAAGCCUAAGGUAAGAAUGACUUGAGAAACAAAGAAUGCCUGUAUGGCUAAAGCAACAGUGAGAAAAAGUGAGGUGAGAUGAAUUCAGAAGGGAUGGGCAUGGGCCAGAUCAGGUAGAGUUUUGUAAGCUAAGGUUCUUACCUUGGAUUUUAUUCUAAGUGUGGUGGGGCAAGAACACAAGGAGGGAAACCAGUGAAGACGAUGUUACAGUAAUCCAGGCCAGAGAUGAUGAUGGUUCUGACCAGAAUAGUAACAAUGGAGAUGAAGAGAAAUGGAGGUGGAAAAUGUCCAUCUGUUUUGAGGAUAAAGGCAACAGCAGUGGCAAGAAGACAAGCAGGGAAAGAUGUCCUCGAGUUUUGUCAGUAUGCCUGGGUGCCAUCUUUGCUCUUCUCCAAAGACAGAACAACAAUCACUUCACCCUGGGUCAACAGUGGUCAAUCAGCAGAGAUAAAUAUUCCCUGAGAAGUGCAGAGGUGCUGCGGGAGAGCCCCGGCAGGAUCUCAUGGCUGCACUACUCCAUAAAGACUCAGUGUUGUACUUCGGAAACUCAAGCUCUUCGACUGGCACAUGCUAAAGCUGAUAGGUGGAAGGAACCGUAAUCCAAGGGUGCUAAGAGUUCUGCCCACAUCCUGUGCCCUCUCAGCAGUGGCUCUCAAAGGGAAAACUCAAAAUCGACUCAGUGAAGCUGGUGCUUCAGCAGAUUCCAGGCCCAGAGUCCGCCUCGCGUGUAUGCCGCUCACAGUAGCCAUGAUUUGCAUCAAGUAGCAUCAUACCUUGGAUUUGUUUUAGACCAUGGAGCAACCUCAGCUCAUUACCAGCAAGAAAACUGUGACUCUGGUGCCGUGCUUGACCACAGCUGCAGUGGACUUCCAGGCUCCAUUAACUCCGCAGCCCCCAGGACCCUUCCGUGACAGCCUGUGCGGCUACAUCAAGUGGCUCUUCACUGAACUCCUGAGAGCCUAAGGAUCUGUGAAGAAUGUUGGACAAAAUAAAAGGAUGAAAGACAUAAAUUAUGCAUUUGAAAGCAAAGAAGUUGUCAGUUCCUUGUUCUCUGGAUUUUUAUUGAAUCUUGCUUUGCAUUCCUUUGCUCUGCUAUGUAUCCUCUUCCUCCCCCUCCUUCACUCUCUAAAUCUACACACAUACACACACACACACAUACAUCUGUGUGGUAUUGUGGGAAGAAUAUUAUUAAUAAGUCCAAAGACUCACACUUUCUAGUACUGGCACCAACUCUUAUGAGCUGUGCAGUCUCAACAAAUCACCUAACCUUUCUGAUCCUCCAUUUCCUCAACCUUGAAAUUGGAAAAGCACUAUCAUCUUGCAGGAUUGAUGCGAGGACUAAAUGAAAUGAUGAAAUUUAAGCACAUUGAAAACUAUAAACCUUUAGUCUGUGUACUCCCAAAACAUAGUGCUGUCAACAUGUUCCAACCAUAUCAGAUAAUUCGGGAAGCAGAGCCACUGGCUGGAAAGCUUAUAACCAGUGAUUAAUUGAUAUCUUGAGGAACUAAAACAAUGAUUUUGGGGUUUGGCUUAUUUCAAAUGCAGCCCUCAGGGCCCUGGUUGGAGAGCUGAGGAUCUGGGAAGAGGCUUGGACACAGGCACCACAGCAAGAAGUCAUGGGGACAUCUUUUCUGAGGACCUGUAUCCAUCGAAUACAUUUAAAUAGUUACCCAUUCUUCUCACUUUCACACCCAUGCUCAUCCCACUAAUUUUCUUUCCUCUCUCCUCUCAGAAUCCAAAAUGAUAGAGCAGAAAGAGUAUUACGGACUUCGUGGGCAAAGAGCUAUGGCUCUGCCACUUAGCAAGUUCUUUAACUCUCCAAGCCUCAGGUUUUCCUUCUGUAAAAUGGACUCACCGAUACAGUCAUAUUUACUUUAAAAGUACUUAGGACACAAAUGUUAGGCUCCUUCAAUUGUCUUCCAGUUGUUGGGGGUUGUUAGCAGUAGAGCAAACAGGACCCUCUAGGGGAAAAUUCCACGGUGUUACAGUUGGGCCCUCCCACCUCCCUAUCUGGACUGUUCCUCCUGGAAGUUGGCAUUUCUUCACCCUAACCUCCUAUUUUGGGUGGCAUCACGCACCCCCAGCUGCCCAGUUGCCACCAUUCCGUUACUGCAGUUUCCCUCAUAUCCAUAAACUACUUCCACACACUUCCUCCAAAUCUAAGAUCAGCUCAGUUCAUCAUCAAUUACUCUACUUAACAUCAGGCUGAGAGUGACUGGUAGCCCAUUAAACUUCCAGGGGAUAUUUUUCUUUUAAAAUCCACAUCUGUUGCAGUGCUGGGGGAGGCAAUUGGCACUGGCCUUAGAGUGGAAGUGGGGAAAGCUGCUCAUUCUCCAACACUUCAGAUACAGAGACGAAUGCCUUCCAGAGAGGGACUUUGCCCGCCUAUCUGCAUGAGUAUCCCUCUGCCUUUGAGGUCAGUGUCAAGCCAUGCCACCCUCUACCUGUCUCUACCCCAUUAUUUAUCAACCGAGAUAUCAGCCAGGACCACAAACACAGCAAGUCCAAAACUCAGCUAGGCACCUUCCUUCCCAAACCUGUAUUCCCUGUCCUAGUGAAUUAAACUGCCGUAACUCCAGUUUGAAAUCUGGUAGUUAUCUAGACCCCUCCCUCUACUGCAACUCUGUCCUGGUUCAAAUCCUGAUUGCUGGCAAUGGUCCCCCAAUUAACCUUCCUUCCUGUAGUCUUACUUCCUCCAAUCAGCUCUCAACAGGGCAGAGAGAAUGGUCUUUGUAAGGAACAAGCGAAAUCAUUUUAUGCUCCUAUUCAGAACCCUUACAUGUGCCCCCCUGGCUUAUAGGACAUCUGAGUCCUGAGCCUGUCAUCCUCAGUCUGCAUGUUCUCCAGCCCUCUCACUAGUCCUUCCCAGUGUUAUACUUCGUACCCUACGUGGGGCUCUGAUCUUAAACACCUCCAUGUCUGUGCUCAUGCCACUCAGAAUGCCUUUUCUUCCCUCCCUGCCUGGCAUUCUUAGGGAUUUAGCUCAAGGGCACUACUUUCUUGGCUCUUUCUACACCUUCCCCACCCCCACCACUACCCUGCUUCCUCCCUAUCCCACGUCUCUAUUUUAUACAAAUCCCUUUUGUAGUUAGUGCCCAGUGUAGUAUGUUCACAAUCAUUUGCUAACAUAUUUGACUUCCCGACUAGUCAUGGAAACUUCAAAGAUAAGAACUAUGCCUUAGUCAUCUCCGCAUCCCCAGUGACUGUCCUCUAGCAGUCCCUAAAGCCUGUUUCUCCCCUCUUAGAAGAUUAGAGUCAUACAUAUUAAGGCCUCUCUUAAGCAAGUUGGGGGGAUUUCAUGAUGAUGGAAGAAAGCCUGUUUUGGAAUCCAAAUUUUUCUUUGCCCAGCACUAGCCAAGAAACAGUUGGAAGACAGUAUUAAGUAAUAAAAACACUAGCUAGUUGCCUGAGUGUCUGGAGUAAUGGUUUAUAAUCCCAACAAGCCUUGGUACUCACAUGGGUCUGGAGGCUGUUGUCUGAUGCCCUAUUUUUCUUACAGGGCUGCCCUUAGCACCUGAGUGUGCAAUCCUUGCCUUCCUCUCUUUCCUCUCCUUCCAAAUGGAGCUGAUUUAAUCAUGUGUUGGAGAAGCAUGUCUCUAUACAUUCUGGGGACUGUAAACUUUGAAAAUCUCGUUCGGUUCAAAUGAAUGCUCUCCAACGUAUUGC